CAGAGAAUAGUUUAAGUUAAAAUAUUAAUUUUGGAGAUUAAUGAUAGGAAUUUUUCUUUCUCUGA
rnacentral:tRNA from 1 species